rnacentral:ribozyme from 1 species
UGCCCAGCAACUCAUAUCCCUACCUCCUCGUGGUACUGGCCGGGGUACGAGUAACCUUGGGGAAGAUCGGGUAACCAACUCCGAUGGGAACUUUGGUCGUAUGCUGACAGGGAAAA